rnacentral:rRNA from 1 species
UCGAUUAGAGUUUGAUUAUGGCUCAGAUUGAACGCUGGCGGCAUGCUUUACACAUGCAAGUCGAGCGGCAGCGCGGGGGCAACCCUGGCGGCGAGCGGCGAACGGGUGAGUAAUGCAUCGGAACGUAUCCCGUAGUGGGGGACAACGCCGGGAAACCGGCGCUAAUACCGCAUAUGCUCUACGGAGGAAAGUGGGGGACCUGCAAGGGCCUCACGCUAUGGGAGCGGCCGAUGUCCGAUUAGCUAGUUGGUGAGGUAAAGGCUUACCAAGGCGACGAUCGGUAGCUGGUCUGAGAGGAUGAUCAGCCACACUGGGACUGAGACACGGCCCAGACUCCUACGGGAGGCAGCAGUGGGGAAUUUUGGACAAUGGGGGCAACCCUGAUCCAGCCAUGCCGCGUGAGUGAAGAAGGCCUUCGGGUUGUAAAGCUCUUUUGUCCGGGAAGAAAAGACUUCUCCUAAUAGGGGAGGUUCUUGACGGUACUGGAAGAAUAAGCACCGGCUAACUACGUGCCAGCAGCCGCGGUAAUACGUAGGGUGCGAGCGUUAAUCGGAAUUACUGGGCGUAAAGCGUGCGCAGGCGGUUCGUUAAGUCAGAUGUGAAAGCCCCGGGCUCAACCUGGGAACUGCAUUUGAGACUGGCGAGCUGGAGGGUGGGNNNGGUGCGUGGAAUUCCCGGUGUAGCG